rnacentral:rRNA from 1 species
GACGAACGCUGGCGGCGUGCUUAACACAUGCAAGUCGAACGGAAAGGCCCUGCUUUUGUGGGGUGCUCGAGUGGCGAACGGGUGAGUAACAAGUGAGUAACCUGCCCUUGACUUUGGGAUAACUUCAGGAAACUGGGGCUAAUACCGGAUAGGAGCUCCUGCUGCAUGGUGGGGGUUGGAAAGUUUCGGCGGUUGGGGAUGGAUUCGCGGCUUAUCAGCUUGUUGGUGGGGUAGUGGCUUACAAAGGCUUUGACGGGUAGCCGGCCUGGGAGGGUGACCGGCCACAUUGGGACUGCGAGACGGCCCAGACUCCUACGGGAGGCAGCAGUGGGGAAUAUUGCACAAUGGGCGGAAGCCUGAUGCAGCAACGCCGCGGUCGGGAUGACGGCCUUCGGGUUGUAAACCGCUUUCGCCUGUGACGAAGCGUGAGUGACGGUAAUGGGUAAAUAAGCACCGGCUAACUACGUG